GGCGGCCCCACAGAUGGCGGCCCCACUGAUGGCGGCCCCACUGAUGGCGGCCCCACAGCGUCACUGCGGAGAGCUGUGCUGCCGGUCCCAUUACUGUGGGUCCCAUUGGCGCUGUGGGCCCCAUUGGUGCUGUGGGUCUCAGUGCUGUGGGUCCCAUUGCUGUGGGCCCCAUUGCUGUGGGUCUCAGUGCUGUGGGCCCCAUUGGUGCUGUGGGGCUGCGGAGCGGCCGUGGUGGAGUUGGGCCCCAUUGGGGUCGGAGCUGUGGGGUCCGGCUGACAGCGGCGCCCAUCGGCCUCCAGGCGCAGCCCAUCGCCGCAGACGCAGCUGUAGGGGGCGCUGU
rnacentral:lncRNA from 1 species